rnacentral:lncRNA from 1 species
UUCGCAUGUGCGAGUGUAAAUGCUUGCAUGUAUGUGUUUGAGAAAAGACAGACAGGAAUUUCCAUUGUCUUACAGAUUCACGUUUCUUCACAGGUUCUCUUUCUCUCCUAACAACAGCAGCAGAAGCUUUUGUUGCGGUAACCUUUGAAGUCUUGGAAAUUUUUGAAGGUUUUGAAGAAGUAAUCGGUUUACAAAUAACUGUUCCUUCAUUGCUACUUCCAAUGGAUAAUUACAAUCUAAGAAGCAUCUGCCUAAAUAUCUAGUGCCUCUUCACAUGUCAUUGACGAAAAGCUGAUAGACCGAGCUCUAAAAACUGUCACAGCUACAAUUAUAAUACAUGUGAAACUGGUUACUUGCUAGGAAUCUUCAGGUUUGAGUAUUCUCCUUGAAGCUUUUUGUCAACCAUAUAGCAGUUUCCCUCGGCGAGACCUUGCCGGGUCCAAAAGGCUUUAGUAGCACACCAAGUUCAUCAUACCUUUCCUCUUGCAGUAAUCUUGCACUAAAUUCAAGCAGUCCUUCCAGAGCUUCAGCUCGCUGCUGGUACGAUGAGGUGUCAAACCUACGGCGCCUUGUGUCUGAUGAGGUGUGGCUUGAUGCCCCAGCAGUUGCAUUUUGAUUAGAGGAGUUGCUUCCUUCCUCUUCGUCUAACUGAAACAUGCUAUGCUCAAUUCCUUGCCAUGCCUCACUGAAAUUGAGCUUCGCAGUGGGUCUGUCACUUAUCUGAACUGUGCAUUUGUCCUUAGUGAUUGAACGGUCACCAUGAUGUGGGGAACCACAUGAUCCUUGUGCUGAAGUUGAUGAAGUUUUCCGGAUAGGAAAGAAUGCCUCUUCAUAUGAAGCUAAUGGAAAUUCAGCUAUCCUGUCAAUUCGUGGUGCAUUGACAGAGACAUCUGGAGAUUUUAUACUGUGAAGGAUACCAAUAUUUGUGGAUCUUGCUGGCAAUGGGAAAGAUGCUCUGCGAUUUGUAGGGUCAGAUUUUUUUGUUGGUGUGCGUGUAACAGGAAGCUGAAAAAGAUAAUGAAAUGACACAUAAGAACCUGAUUUGUGUUUCCAGGAAAAGUUGCAAUUGACAAGCUCUAUGUGCAUUUGUGUGUGCGUGCAUGCAUGCUGGAGUUCGCAUGUGCGAGUGUAAAUGCUUGCAUGUAUGUGUUUGAGAAAAGACAGACAGGAAUUUCCAUUGUCUUACAGAUUCACGUUUCUUCACAGGUUCUCUUUCUCUCCUAACAACAGCAGCAGAAGCUUUUGUUGCGGUAACCUUUGAAGUCUUGGAAAUUUUUGAAGGUUUUGAAGAAGUAAUCGGUUUACAAAUAACUGUUCCUUCAUUGCUACUUCCAAUGGAUAAUUCUGAUAACCUACGAUGCAUUCCUUUGGUAGAACAAAAGGACUCUUCAUCUGCUUCAGAUG